GGGUGAAAUGUCACCCGAAUUCGAAGCUAGCUGAUUCUCCCCAAAAUGCAUGGGAAAAUUUUUUCUAAUGGGCGAAAGCCUGACGAAGCAAUGUCGCGUGAAGGUAGAAGACCCACAGAUCGUGAACUUCUUUUUUCAUUGAAAUUGCAAUAACAGUAUCUGGAGAAUAAGCAUUGGGUAACUCUGUGCCACCAGCCGCGGUAAUAUAGAGAAGGUAAGCGUUAUUC
rnacentral:ncRNA from 1 species